rnacentral:rRNA from 1 species
UACGGGGGGAGCAAGCGUUGUUCGGAUUUACUGGGCGUAAAGGGCGCGUAGGCGGUCAGCACAAGUCAGUUGUGAAAUCUCCGGGCUUAACUCGGAAAGGUCAACUGAUACUGUGCGACUAGAGUGCAGAAGGGGCAACUGGAAUUCUCGGUGUAGCGGUGAAAUGCGUAGAUAUCGAGAGGAACACCUGCGGCGAAGGCGGGUCUCUGGGCCGAUACUGACGCUGAGGAGCGAAAGCGUGGGGAGCGAACAGG